UACGUAGGGUGCAAGCGUUGUCCGGAAUUAUUGGGCGUAAAGAGCUCGUAGGCGGCUUGUCACGUCGACUGUGAAAACCCGGGGCUCAACUCCGGGCCUGCAGUCGAUACGGGCUGGCUUGAGUGCGGUAGGGGAGAUCGGAAUUCCUGGUGUAGCGGUGAAAUGCGCAGAUAUCAGGAGGAACACCGGUGGCGAAGGCGGAUCUCUGGGCCAUUACUGACGCUGAGGAGCGAAAGCGUGGGGAGCGAACAGG
rnacentral:rRNA from 1 species